rnacentral:rRNA from 1 species
AACGAACGCUGGCGGCAGGCUUAACACAUGCAAGUCGAACGCCCCGCAAGGGGAGUGGCAGACGGGUGAGUAACGCGUGGGAAUCUACCCAUCUCUGCGGAAUAGCCCUGGGAAACUGGAAUUAAUACCGCAUACGACCUACGGGGGAAAGAUUUAUCGGGGAGGGAUGAGCCCGCGUUGGAUUAGCUAGUUGGUGGGGUAAAGGCCUACCAAGGCGACGAUCCAAUGCUGGUCUGAGAGGAUGAUCAGCCACAUUGGGACUGAGACACGGCCCAAACUCCGACGGGAGGCAGCAGUGGGGAAUAUUGGACAAUGGGCGCAAGCCUGAUCCAGCCAUGCCGCGUGAGUGAUGAAGGCCUUAGGGUUGUAAAGCUCUUUCACCGAUGAAGAUAAUGACGGUAGUCGGAGAAGAAGCCCCGGCUAACUUCGUGCCAGCCGCCGCCGUAA